UACAGAGGGGGCAAGCGUUGUUCGGAAUUACUGGGCGUAAAGGGCGCGUAGGCGGCCCGCUAAGUCGAACGUGAAAUCCCCGGGCUUAACCCGGGAACUGCGUCCGAUACUGGCAGGCUUGAAUCCGGGAGAGGGAUGUGGAAUUCCAGGUGUAGCGGUGAAAUGCGUAGAUAUCGGGAGGAACACCAGUGGCGAAGGCGGCGAUCUGGGAAGAUACUGACGCUGAGGUGCGAAAGCGUGGGGAGCAAACAGG
rnacentral:rRNA from 1 species